GAGUUUGAUCCUGGCUCAGGAUGAACGCUAGCGGCAGGCCUAACACAUGCAAGUCGAGGGGUAUAGUUUGUGCUUGCACGAACUGGAGACCGGCGAACGGGUGCGUAACGCGUAUGUAACUUGCCUUAAACAGGGGGAUAGCCCGGAGAAAUUUGGAUUAAUACCCCAUAGUAUCGUUAAAAGGCAUCUUUUUUCGAUUAAAGAUUUAUUUUGGUUUAAGAUAGACAUGCGUCCUAUUAGCUAGAUGGUGAGGUAAUGGCUCACCAUGGCUACGAUAGGUAGGGGUCCUGAGAGGGAUGUCCCCCACACUGGUACUGAGACACGGACCAGACUCCUACGGGAGGCAGCAGUGAGGAAUAUUGGUCAAUGGAGGCAACUCUGAACCAGCCAUGCCGCGUGCAGGAAGAAUGUCUUAUGGAUUGUAAACUGCUUUUUUAUGGGAAGAAACGGGAUCUUGCGAGAUUCAUACUGACGGUACCAUAAGAAUAAGAAUCGGCUAACUCCGUGCCAGCAGCCGCGGUAAUACGGAGGAUUCGAGCGUUAUCCGGAAUCAUUGGGUUUAAAGGGUCUGUAGGCGGCUUAUUAAGUCAGUGGUGAAAGUUUGCAGCUUAACUGUAAAAUUGCCAUUGAUACUGUUAGGCUUGAGUUAUCGUGAAGUAACUAGAAUGUGUAGUGUAGCGGUGAAAUGCAUAGAUAUUACACAGAAUACCGAUUGCGAAGGCAGGUUGCUAAUGAUACACUGACGCUGAGGGACGAAAGCGUGGGGAGCGAACAGGAUUAGAUACCCUGGUAGUCCACGCCGUAAACGAUGGUCACUAACUGGUAGGCAUUAAUAUUUAUUGGUUGAGCGAAAGCAUUAAGUGACCCACCUGGGGAGUACGUUCGCAAGGAUGAAACUCAAAGGAAUUGACGG
rnacentral:rRNA from 1 species